AUACGAAGGUCCCAAGCGUUAUUCGGAAUCACUGGGCGUAAAGAGUACGUAGGCGGUUUGGUAAGUCAGGUGUGAAAUCCCGAAGCUCAACUUCGGAACUGCAUCCGAUACUGCCAGACUAAAGUAAUGGAGAGGCAGGUGGAAUUCUCGGUGUAGCAGUGAAAUGCGUGGAUAUCGAGAGGAAGACCAAUGGCGAAGGCAGCCUGCUGGACAUUUACUGACGCUGAGGUACGAAGGCUAGGGGAGCGAAAGGGAUUAGAAACCCGAGUAGUCC
rnacentral:rRNA from 1 species